rnacentral:tRNA from 1 species
GGAGGUGUAGCUCAGUGGUAGAGCGCAUGCUUAGCAUGCAUGAGGUUCUGGGUUCAUUCCCCAGCACCUCCA